GAUGAACGCUGGCGGCGUGCCUAAUACAUGCAAGUCGAGCGAACAGACGAGGAGCUUGCUCCUCUGACGUUAGCGGCGGACGGGUGAGUAACACGUGGAUAACCUACCUAUAAGACUGGGAUAACUUCGGGAAACCGGAGCUAAUACCGGAUAAUAUAUUGAACCGCAUGGUUCAAUAGUGAAAGACGGUUUUGCUGUCACUUAUAGAUGGAUCCGCGCCGCAUUAGCUAGUUGGUAAGGUAACGGCUUACCAAGGCAACGAUGCGGAGCCGACCUGAGAGGGUGAUCGGCCACACUGGAACUGAGACACGGUCCAGACUCCUACGGGAGGCAGCAGUAGGGAAUCUUCCGCAAUGGGCGAAAUCUUGACGGAGCAACGCCGCGUGAGUGAUGAAGGUCUUCGGAUCGUAAAACUCUGUUAUUAGGGAAGAACAAAUGUGUAAGUAACUAUGCACGUCUUGACGGUACCUAAUCAGAAAGCCACGGCUAACUACGUG
rnacentral:rRNA from 1 species